UACGUAGGGGGCAAGCGUUGUCCGGAUUUAUUGGGUGUAAAGGGCGCGUAGGCGGUCUAUUAAGUCAGUGCUGAAAUAUCCCGGCUUAACCGGGAGGGUGGCAUUGAUACUGAUGGACUUGAGUGCAGUCGAGGUAGGCGGAAUUGCCGGUGUAGCGGUGAAAUGCUUAGAUAUCGUCAAGAACACCGAUAGUGAAGACAGCUUACUAGACUGUAACUGACGCUGAGGCACGAAAGUGUGGGGAUCAAACAGG
rnacentral:rRNA from 1 species